UAUUAUAUUUAUAAAAAAAUAACAAUAUUCACACCUUUAGUUCUUACAUAAUUUUAAUUUUUUACCGUUAAAUCGAAUGAUAUGAAUUAAGAGAUAAAAUCCCAAUAAAAUAAAUAGAAAAUUGACAUACACCCUCGCCUAGCUAAGACGACAUUGCUUUCUGGUACAUUCAAGCCCGAUCCGCCAAACCGGAAACUGUGCCUCUCCGCCAGAAUGCACGCUACGAAACUUCCAAAAUUAGUGCAAUUUUAACUUUCUGAAAAGACCGCACGCAAGGUGUUUGAUGAAAUUCCUCAACGACCUUCUUUUGAACAUAAAAGUGGUUUGGGUAUGGCUCUUGCGAAUGCUGCUGCUCUCAAGUUCUCGACUUCUGCGUUUUUGGAUCUUCGUUCGGCAACUUCCAUCUUUCAAAUUCAACCCAUGCAGCAGACUGGAAGAACAAGUGGAUGAUCCCAACUUACACUACUUGUGCUGCUGUGCAUGCAACUCUGUGUUAUUGGUUUACUGUUAAAGCUUGGGUUUCGUGUAGGUUUCUCGGUGAAGCCGUUCGUUAUGAGAGCGAGGGGGAAUGCCAGGACGGAUAGUGCGAAAACACGAAACAGAAGAAUGCAGAAGAAGUAUAACGGCACGUCCAAAGACCGAGGAAGCUGCUAAACGUCUCAGUGAGGAGUUCGUCAAGGCCUGCAAUGAACUUAACAUACAUGAAAUAUCAUCUUAUGAUCGCAACGGUUUUGCUACUGGGGAAAGGAUUCAGGCAUUCGAGAUUGCAAUUUCUCAGCAUGGUUUCUUGUCCAGAUAGAUUUGUAUGCGCGUGAAUUCUAUACAUCAACUCCACCUCUAUUACUAUAUCCUAUGGCGUUGCUACAUAGUAUGAACUAAAAUAUACAGCAAUCGUAGGCUCGUUACUGAAACAACUCUCUCCUCUUUUAGUUAGCGCCUUGGUAGGGUCUCGGCUUUGGUCAAUCUCGGUCAUCUACUC